GACGAACCGUGCAAACGUUGUUCGGAAUCACUGGGCUUAAAGGGCGCGUAGGCGGGUGAGCAAGUCCGGGGUGAAAUCUUUCGGCUUAACCGGAAAAGUGCCUUGGAUACUGCUCGUCUGGAGGAAGGUAGGGGCAGGUGGAACUUCUGGUGGAGCGGUGAAAUGCGUUGAUAUCAGAAGGAACGCCGGUGGCGAAAGCGACCUGCUGGACCGUUACUGACGCUGAGGCGCGAAAGCUAGGGGAGCAAACGGG
rnacentral:rRNA from 1 species